GAUGAACGCUGGCGGCGUGCCUAAUACAUGCAAGUCGAGCGAACGGACGAGAAGCUUGCUUCUCUGAUGUUAGCGGCGGACGGGUGAGUAACACGUGGAUAACCUACCUAUAAGACUGGGAUAACUUCGGGAAACCGUAGCUAAUACCGGAUAAUAUUUUGAACCGCAUGGUUCAAAAGUGAAAGACGGUCUUGCUGUCACUUAAAGAUGGAUCCGCGCUGCAUUAGCUAGUUGGUAAGGUAACGGCUUACCAAGGCAACGAUGCAUAGCCGACCUGAGAGGGUGAUCGGCCACACUGGAACUGAGACACGGUCCAGACUCCUACGGGAGGCAGCAGUAGGGAAUCUUCCGCAAUGGGCGAAAGCCUGACGGAGCAACGCCGCGUGAGUGAUGAAGGUCUUCGGAUCGUAAAACUCUGUUAUUAGGGAAGAACAUAUGUGUAAGUAACUGUGCACAUCUUGACGGUACCUAAUCAGAAAGCCACGGCUAACUACGUG
rnacentral:rRNA from 1 species